rnacentral:rRNA from 1 species
AGACCCGAAACCCGGUGAUCUAGCCAUGGGCAGGUUGAAGGUUGGGUAACACUAACUGGAGGACCGAACCGACUAAUGUUGAAAAAUUAGCGGAUGACCUGUGGCUGGGGGUGAAAGGCCAAUCAAACCGGGAGAUAGCUGGUUCUCCCCGAAAGCUAUUUAGGUAGCGCCUCGUGAAUUCAUCUCCGGGGGUAGAGCACUGUUUCGGCUAGGGGGCCAUCCCGGCUUACCAACCCGAUGCAAACUGCGAAUACCGGAGAAUGUUAUCACGGGAGACACACGGCGGGUGCUAACGUCCGUCGUGAAGAGGGAAACAACCCAGACCGCCAGCUAAGGUCCCAAAGUCAUGGUUAAGUGGGAAACGAUGUGGGAAGGCCCAGACAGCCAGGAUGUUGGCUUAGAAGCAGCCAUCAUUUAAAGAAAGCGUAAUAGCUCACUGGUCGAGUCGGCCUGCGCGGAAGAUGUAACGGGGCUAAACCAUGCACCGAAGCUGCGGCAGCGACACUAUGUGUUGUUGGGUAGGGGAGCGUUCUGUAAGCCUGUGAAGGUGGCCUGUGAGGGUUGCUGGAGGUAUCAGAAGUGCGAAUGCUGACAUAAGUAACGAUAAAGCGGGUGAAAAGCCCGCUCGCCGGAAGACCAAGGGUUCCUGUCCAACGUUAAUCGGGGCAGGGUGAGUCGACCCCUAAGGCGAGGCCGAAAGGCGUAGUCGAUGGGAAACGGGUUAAUAUUCCCGUACUUGGUGUUACUGCGAAGGGGGGACGGAGAAGGCUAUGUUGGCCGGGCGACGGUUGUCCCGGUUUAAGCGUGUAGGUGUGUGUUCCAGGUAAAUCCGGUUCACUUUAACACUGAGGCGUGAUGACGAGGCACUACGGUGCUGAAGCAACAAAUGCCCUGCUUCCAGGAAAAGCCUCUAAGCAUCAGGUAACAUCAAAUCGUACCCCAAACCGACACAGGUGGUCAGGUAGAGAAUACCAAGGCGCUUGAGAGAACUCGGGUGAAGGAACUAGGCAAAAUGGUGCCGUAACUUCGGGAGAAGGCACGCUGACAUGUAGGUGAAGUGAUUUACUCAUGGAGCUGAAGUCAGUCGAAGAUACCAGCUGGCUGCAACUGUUUAUUAAAAACACAGCACUGUGCAAACACGAAAGUGGACGUAUACGGUGUGACGCCUGCCCGGUGCCGGAAGGUUAAUUGAUGGGGUCAGCGCAAGCGAAGCUCCUGAUCGAAGCCCCGGUAAACGGCGGCCGUAACUAUAACGGUCCUAAGGUAGCGAAAUUCCUUGUCGGGUAAGUUCCGACCUGCACGAAUGGCGUAAUGAUGGCCAGGCUGUCUCCACCCGAGACUCAGUGAAAUUGAACUCGCUGUGAAGAUGCAGUGUACCCGCGGCAAGACGGAAAGACCCCGUGAACCUUUACUAUAGCUUGACACUGAACAUUGAGCCUUGAUGUGUAGGAUAGGUGGGAGGCUUUGAAGUGUGGACGCCAGUCUGCAUGGAGCCGACCUUGAAAUACCACCCUUUAAUGUUUGAUGUUCUAACGUGGACCCGUAAUCCGGGUUGCGGACAGUGUCUGGUGGGUAGUUUGACUGGGGCGGUCUCCUCCUAAAGAGUAACGGAGGAGCACGAAGGUUGGCUAAUCCUGGUCGGACAUCAGGAGGUUAGUGCAAUGGCAUAAGCCAGCUUGACUGCGAGCGUGACGGCGCGAGCAGGUGCGAAAGCAGGUCAUAGUGAUCCGGUGGUUCUGAAUGGAAGGGCCAUCGCUCAACGGAUAAAAGGUACUCCGGGGAUAACAGGCUGAUACCGCCCAAGAGUUCAUAUCGACGGCGGUGUUUGGCACCUCGAUGUCGGCUCAUCACAUCCUGGGGCUGAAGUAGGUCCCAAGGGUAUGGCUGUUCGCCAUUUAAAGUGGUACGCGAGCUGGGUUUAGAACGUCGUGAGACAGUUCGGUCCCUAUCUGCCGUGGGCGCUGGAGAACUGAGGGGGGCUGCUCCUAGUACGAGAGGACCGGAGUGGACGCAUCACUGGUGUUCGGGUUGUCAUGCCAAUGGCACUGCCCGGUAGCUAAAUGCGGAAGAGAUAAGUGCUGAAAGCAUCUAAGCACGAAACUUGCCCCGAGAUGAGUUCUCCCUGAGACUUUAGGUCUCCUGAAGGAACGUUGAAGACGACGACGUUGAUAGGCCGGGUGUGUAAGCGCAGCGAUGCGUUGAGCUAACCGGUACUAAUGAACCGUGAGGCUUAACCUUACA